rnacentral:rRNA from 1 species
UACGUAGGGGGCAAGCGUUGUCCGGAUUUAUUGGGCGUAAAGAGCGUGUAGGCGGUUUGGUAGGUCCGCUGUGAAACUCGAGGCUCAACCUCGAGACGCCGGUGGAAACCAUCAGGCUAGAGUCCGGAAGAGGAGAGUGGAAUUCCUGGUGUAGCGGUGGAAUGCGCAGAUAUCAGGAGGAACAUCCGUGGCGAAGGCGGCUCUCUGGGACGGUACUGACGCUGAGACGGCGAAAGCGUGGGGAGCGAACAGG